UACGUAGGCAGCAAGCGUUGUUCGGAGUUACUGGGCGUAAAGAGUGUGUAGGCUGUUCUCUAAGUUUGGUGUGAAAUCUCCCGGCUCAACUGGGAGGGUGCGCCGAAAACUGGAGGGCUCGAGUAUGGGAGAGGAAAGCGGAAUUCCUGGUGUAGCGGUGAAAUGCGUAGAUAUCGUAAGGAAGACCAGUGGCGAAGGCGGGUCUCUGGACAGUUCCUGACGCUGAGGCACGAAGGUCAGGGGAGCAAACGGG
rnacentral:rRNA from 1 species